rnacentral:rRNA from 1 species
GGUUAAGCGACUAAGCGUACACGGUGGAUGCCCUGGCAGUCAGAGGCGAUGAAGGACGUGCUAAUCUGCGAUAAGCGUCGGUAAGGUGAUAUGAACCGUUAUAACCGGCGAUUUCCGAAUGGGGAAACCCAGUGUGAUUCGUCACACUAUCAUUAACUGAAUCCAUAGGUUAAUGAGGCGAACCGGGGGAACUGAAACAUCUAAGUACCCCGAGGAAAAGAAAUCAACCGAGAUUCCCCCAGUAGCGGCGAGCGAACGGGGAGCAGCCCAGAGCCUGAAUCAGUGUGUGUGUUAGUGGAAGCGUCUGGAAAGGCGCGCGAUACAGGGUGACAGCCCCGUACACAAAAAUGCACAUGCUGUGAGCUCGAUGAGUAGGGCGGGACACGUGGUAUCCUGUCUGAAUAUGGGGGGACCAUCCUCCAAGGCUAAAUACUCCUGACUGACCGAUAGUGAACCAGUACCGUGAGGGAAAGGCGAAAAGAACCCCGGCGAGGGGAGUGAAAAAGAACCUGAAACCGUGUACGUACAAGCAGUGGGAGCACGCUUAGGCGUGUGACUGCGUACCUUUUGUAUAAUGGGUCAGCGACUUAUAUUCUGUAGCAAGGUUAACCGAAUAGGGGAGCCGAAGGGAAACCGAGUCUUAACUGGGCGUUAAGUUGCAGGGUAUAGACCCGAAACCCGGUGAUCUAGCCAUGGGCAGGUUGAAGGUUGGGUAACACUAACUGGAGGACCGAACCGACUAAUGUUGAAAAAUUAGCGGAUGACUUGUGGCUGGGGGUGAAAGGCCAAUCAAACCGGGAGAUAGCUGGUUCUCCCCGAAAGCUAUUUAGGUAGCGCCUCGUGAAUUCAUCUCCGGGGGUAGAGCACUGUUUCGGCAAGGGGGUCAUCCCGACUUACCAACCCGAUGCAAACUGCGAAUACCGGAGAAUGUUAUCACGGGAGACACACGGCGGGUGCUAACGUCCGUCGUGAAGAGGGAAACAACCCAGACCGCCAGCUAAGGUCCCAAAGUCAUGGUUAAGUGGGAAACGAUGUGGGAAGGCCCAGACAGCCAGGAUGUUGGCUUAGAAGCAGCCAUCAUUUAAAGAAAGCGUAAUAGCUCACUGGUCGAGUCGGCCUGCGCGGAAGAUGUAACGGGGCUAAACCAUGCACCGAAGCUGCGGCAGCGACGCUUAUGCGUUGUUGGGUAGGGGAGCGUUCUGUAAGCCUGUGAAGGUGUGCUGUGAGGCAUGCUGGAGGUAUCAGAAGUGCGAAUGCUGACAUAAGUAACGAUAAAGCGGGUGAAAAGCCCGCUCGCCGGAAGACCAAGGGUUCCUGUCCAACGUUAAUCGGGGCAGGGUGAGUCGACCCCUAAGGCGAGGCCGAAAGGCGUAGUCGAUGGGAAACAGGUUAAUAUUCCUGUACUUGGUGUUACUGCGAAGGGGGGACGGAGAAGGCUAUGUUGGCCGGGCGACGGUUGUCCCGGUUUAAGCGUGUAGGCUGGUUUUCCAGGCAAAUCCGGAAAAUCAAGGCUGAGGCGUGAUGACGAGGCACUACGGUGCUGAAGCAACAAAUGCCCUGCUUCCAGGAAAAGCCUCUAAGCAUCAGGUAACAUCAAAUCGUACCCCAAACCGACACAGGUGGUCAGGUAGAGAAUACCAAGGCGCUUGAGAGAACUCGGGUGAAGGAACUAGGCAAAAUGGUGCCGUAACUUCGGGAGAAGGCACGCUGAUAUGUAGGUGAAGUCCCUCGCGGAUGGAGCUGAAAUCAGUCGAAGAUACCAGCUGGCUGCAACUGUUUAUUAAAAACACAGCACUGUGCAAACACGAAAGUGGACGUAUACGGUGUGACGCCUGCCCGGUGCCGGAAGGUUAAUUGAUGGGGUUAGCGCAAGCGAAGCUCUUGAUCGAAGCCCCGGUAAACGGCGGCCGUAACUAUAACGGUCCUAAGGUAGCGAAAUUCCUUGUCGGGUAAGUUCCGACCUGCACGAAUGGCGUAAUGAUGGCCAGGCUGUCUCCACCCGAGACUCAGUGAAAUUGAACUCGCUGUGAAGAUGCAGUGUACCCGCGGCAAGACGGAAAGACCCCGUGAACCUUUACUAUAGCUUGACACUGAACAUUGAGCCUUGAUGUGUAGGAUAGGUGGGAGGCUU